AGCGCUGCCGGCGCUAUAUAAGGGAAAGCAAUUAUAAUAGUUUUGCCUACGGUUUUGAAUAGCCGACGCUAUAAAAUAUUCAUGGUUUACUGAUACAUACCUAUUUUAAAGUACAGUAUUCCAUAAAUGGUAGAAGAUGUUACGACGCCAGUACCGCCGGCGAUUGAAAGCGCGGACGAAUGAGUAACAAAGGGUAAGGUUAAAUCGCCGAAGUUAGAUUUCGGUAACGGCGCAAGUCGUGGGAUUACAUAGGUACAUCGGUAACGAUGUAAUUAGUAGGGCAAUUUGGAUUUAGACGCUAAAUAAUAUGUACGGUAGUAGAAUACCGGCUAUAAAUA
rnacentral:sRNA from 12 species